rnacentral:rRNA from 1 species
UACGUAGGGGGCAAGCGUUGUCCGGAAUCAUUGGGCGUAAAGCGCGUGUAGGCGGCUCGAUAAGUCUGCUGUGAAAGUUCAGGGCUCAACCCUGAAAUGCCGGUGGAAACUGUCGAGCUAGAGUACGGAAGAGGCGAGUGGAAUUCCUGGUGUAGCGGUGGAAUGCGCAGAUAUCAGGAGGAACACCAAUAGCGAAGGCAGCUCGCUGGGACGUUACUGACACUGAGGCGCGAAAGCGUGGGGAGCGAACAGG